rnacentral:rRNA from 1 species
AUGCACAGCCAUGUCCAAGAUUGGUUACUCACUGAAGCUAAGCAGGGCUGAGCCUGGUCAGUACCUGGAUGGGAGACCACAUGGGAAAACUAGGUUGCUGUUGAAA